rnacentral:rRNA from 1 species
CCUACGGGGGGCAGCAGUGGGGAAUAUUGCGCAAUGGGCGAAAGCCUGACGCAGCGACGCCGCGUGAGGGAUGAAGGUCUUCGGAUCGUAAACCUCUGUCAGCAGGGCAGAACGGUCACUGUGCUAAUCAGCAGUGAAUUGACGGUACCUGCAAAGGAAGCACCGGCUAACUCCGUGCCAGCAGCCGCGGUAAUACGGAGGGUGCGAGCGUUAAUCGGAAUUACUGGGCGUAAAGCGCUCGUAGGCGGUAUGUCAAGUCAAGGGUGAAAUCCCCGCGCUCAACGUGGGAACUGCCUUUGAAACUGGCAGACUGGAGUGUGUGAGAGGAUAGUGGAAUUCCAGGUGUAGGAGUGAAAUCCGUAGAUAUCUGGAGGAACAUCAGUGGCGAAGGCGACUAUCUGGCACAUAACUGACGCUGAGGAGCGAAAGCGUGGGUAGCAAACAGGAUUAGAUACCCUGGUAGUC